UAUAUACUCCCUCCGUCCCAAAAUUCUUGUCUUAUAUUUGUCUAAAUACGGAUGUAUCUAGUUACGUUUUAGUGUUAGAUACAUCCGUAUCUAGACAAAUCUAAGACAAGAAUUUUGAGACAGAGGGAGUACUUC
rnacentral:pre_miRNA from 1 species